AUGCACACCCUGCUGAAGGAGAGAGGUACUACUUGCGGGGUGCUCCUCAGCCAUGUCUUAGAUGCCACUUCAUUUGAUGAUUUAAAAACAAUGAAUAGCAAUCCAUGCAGUUCCUUUAGAGAGGCAUAUGAGCAGCUAGGACUCAUUGAGCAUGACAUGACACUUGAUGAUUGCAUGACAGAGGCAGCAACAUUUCAGAUGCCUUCUGCUCUUAGACGGUUGUUUGCAACUAUACGGGUAUUCUAUGAGGCAACAAAAAUCUGUCAGUUAUGGGACAAGCACCUAGCAUCGAUGUCUGAAGAUUACCGUCGUACUCAACCGAAUGAGGCAGCACUUGAGUAG
rnacentral:rRNA from 1 species